rnacentral:rRNA from 1 species
AUGUGGGUUUCUCGGACGGUGGAUAUCCAGUCCAUAAUCUGUGUCAACCCAUCUGUUUGUUGGUGUCUAUGUAAUGUCUUGGUUAUGAUGUGGAAUAAUGGAGCUUGUUUGUUUGAGAAAGUGUUAUACCCACAUAAUUAUAUUAUUUGUGUUAAUCAUCAGACAAGCAUAUAUGAAAACUUAAAGCAAAAUAAAUUAAUGAACACAAGAGCAGCGUUAUUCAUACACUUAACAGUGUCUAUCCCAAAAGAAGUUUACCUCAAGGACCAUAAGAGCCCCAUUGUUUUCCACAAUGUCUAG